GGAAGAAGCACCCGAAGAAGCGGCAUCGGUGGACUCACCUGUCAGGUGACUCCGGAUCGAAACAGGUCUUGAGAACAUCCGUCACUUGCGGUUGUAGCAAGGUGCCAGUCUGAGGCAGUCCCCUCCGUCGUGGCCUGUCCUCGGGUGGUCGCACUCCGGAUCGCAAUGGCGGUUCCCAAUUUUCCCGAUGCGACAGUUGCUGAGAACGAAACGCUGCCGCAGGCUCGUGUUUCUGACCGUUGCCACCGUCAGCUCGAGGGUGAUGUUGUAAGGGCGAAAGGCAUCAAUCAGAGCCUGAUGUUGCAGGCGAAUCUGGGCUUGGGACACCGUGGCGUUCCCGCCGUCGUCGUUGGAAAGGUGUGAGGCCGCAGGGUGGCGGCAAGAAGGGGGAGACCAGCUGCAAAGCGGGGAGAGGAGUGGCGAUGACGGCUGGAUGGAGGCCAUCUUUGAACGGAGUCCACAUCUGAUCCACCUUCAAGCAGGAAGGAAACGGCUUUGAAAUGGCAAUCGGCCGCAGAAGACCACUUGAGCGGCGUAUGACGCAGGUCGACGCCUACACGGACGGUUUUCAACGACAUGCCGACUUGGGUAAGCAAUGCUGAUUUUCAGGCCAGCGAUCGGGCGAAAUGCCCUCGAUAGGUUUUUGUGCGGCUGCUAUUUUUUAUUAUUUUUUUUAAAUCCUCUUGUACGUUGAAGCCUUCCGUGUACGUGUCGAGCCGACCGAUUAGUUCAGAGGUGUCAAACUCAUUUUUGCGGCAGGCCACUUUGGAGUGACGUCUUCCCUCGGAGGGCCCUUACGACAGUGAAACCGAAUCCAUGUUUAUUUGUCGCAUCGCACUACUUGUCCGCAACAAAUUACUAGUUUUGAAAUUUGCUUAAGUCAACUCUUUUCUUCCCCAAUGACAGACAAUGGUCUUUUAUGGUUGAAGAGAAAACCUCGUCACUGCUUCCCGGUGACGUGUCUUAAAAUCGGCGCUUGGUUUGUUAUUUGUUCAACUAUUGUUUAAAUGGAUGUAAACAGGGGAAGAAAACGAUGGCAAAAUCUCUGCGUUAUUUAUUCCACGUGACAAUUUGACAUUUCGGUCCAGAUUUUAGCAAGGAUCAUGCAAGUCGAGAGGGUGGAUUUUGCUUUCGCGGGCCGGAUCCGGGCCCCGGGCCUUGAGUUUGACAGCCGCGGAUGAGUAGGUUGGAGAGGCGGGAUCCGAGAUAGCUACAUUUGUAAAGUCAGCCCACAUGGCCAGAAGAGGCUCCGUCUUGAGGAGGGGUCGCAUCUGCAGGUCCUCAUGGGAGAGGGCGUAGUCCCACAAGUGCACACCCGCGACUUGGCCUCGGAAGCCCUGGCCCUGCUCUGAUUGGUUACUGCCCAGGAUGAAGGUUCUGCAGGUCUUCAUGAAGGGACUGUAGAGAUUGCCUGACUGGAAACUGCUUUCUCCCACCUGAGAGGGAAAUCAAUCAUUGUAGCCAGGACGACAAGACGGAAACAAUUUCGGUUGGCAUUGCUCUCCCAAAAUCAUUUGGAAUUUGACAAAAAUGCGGAUCACGGUCGAGCGGCGUUACUCGCUCCACCAAAUUAGAUGAAAGACUUGAUCUCACAGUGAACUUUUGUAUUCUCUGAACAAAAUAUUUGAAGUAGAACCUCCCACGAUGGUACUUGACCGGGAAUUUUAGGAAGAAUGGUUCCGAACUGCAGUCGUGAACGUGUGACGUGCAAUUUUAUUUUAUUUUCGUUUGUGUUGAUUUUAAUCCAAGUGGGAAUAACACAAACAAAUUUUCCAACUUUUUGGCGCAUUGUACACAAUUCCAACCAGGCUUAGCGUUUUAAGGACUGUCACUUUGGGAAAAUAUUACCAGAAAAGUUACAUGAAGGCAACAGUUAAACAAAAAAUGAUUUUACUUUUUUUUUUUUUACUUAAAAGUGAUAUCAAAGACCGAAGUGAAGCUGUUGCAAUCAUUUGCCAUGCCAAACCCACACACCUUGGCUCCGUCAACGUACAGGGUCAUGUUGUGGCUAUUGUAAGUGGCAAUCAGGUGAGCCCAGGUGUUGGCCGAGUACUGCUGGUGGGUAACGACAGUGGUAGCUUUCAAGGCUCGGUCUGUGCGAAGCGUGAAGUAGAAACGUGCGUCCUUGGUACCUGCGGGAUCCAGACUGCGAAUGCCUACUGACCAGCCCUUCUCGCUCUGUGAAUGGGAACAGUUGUCGUAAACACCUACAACGCAGAGGCAAAAAUGUGAAAUUGUUGCUUGCUGUGUGUAAAAUAGCAGAAACGUAUAUGGCGUGAUCGGGGGUAAACAAACAUUAUAAAAAUUUAAAUAAAAAGGCAUUUCCUGAGGCCCGCUGCAGAAUAACCAGCGCGGCUGGUGAUGGACCCUCGCCAGAGAGAAUAGACAGAACCACGGGGACAAAACAGAGAAGUAACGAGAGCAUUUCAGAGUGCCAAAGUAUGGCCUGCAUGUUUCCAUUUGCUCUUGCAACCGACAGUCAGCCUCGCGACGACAUCUGUAGCGCAGAUGUGAAACUGUGGGACAGGACAACCAAAGGUCAGGGAACCCCUUCUCUCUAACCACAACUCUCUGUGUGUGUGCGUGUGUGUAAACAAGGUAACAUUUGGGGGAAAAAAUAGCUUUAAGAAGUUAAAUGGCUUGAAUUAAAUCCAACCACGGUGGCUGGAAGGCCAUACGUUGCCAUUUCCACUACCCGAUGAAAAUUCCAAACCAUAGAAAUUGCCAAAUGAAGCAUUCAUGUUUGUACAUUACAUGUUGAUAUGAACCAAAAAAUGUGUGUCGUGCGCUGAUUUGGGAAUGGACGCCUGAAUUCUUAUCAGGACCAUCAUCAAAUGGUUGUUUGCACCCACUGGAAUGCUGCAGGGUUGAAAAAAAAUAAUCCUAAAGCAAGUAAAAAUUGUACAAUUCUAUAAGGCCACUUAUUUAUUUAUAGAUUUAUUUAUUUGCAUAUGUAUCAUUCUUAAAUGUUGUGUAUUAUCAAGACAAUUUUAAUCUUGAAUAGACAACCCAAGUAAAUCGAAAAUGUGGUUUCCAAAUUAUGAUUUAUUUUUUUAAAGGGAAUAAAAUCCAAACCUAUCUGGCCUUAAAUGGAAAAAAAUGGCGAGCUUUUCAAUAUGUGACGCCAAAUAACUAUUAUGCCCUUCCUGGACACUAGUUGACGCUGUGUAGCAUAAAAUGUUAUCCGCCCCUCACAAUAUAGGAAGAAGAAGAAUAGUCUCCCCGGCUCCAAUUCAGAGGAUUCAUUUCACACGUUUUUGACGUUUUAAAACAAAUGUCAGGUUGCUUUCUUCGUGAAACGCUGUUUAGAAUCAUUAUUACGUUCAUAUUGUUUUGGACAGACGUCAAUAGGCUUCCGUUGUGUUGCUGUAUAGCACCCUCCAGUGGUUUUGUACGUUUUCUACCUUGUGACCAAACAGCAAAUUGUGUGCACAAAACGUCUUUGUCUCUAAUCUAUACUUAAAUGUAUUUCAAUGUUUAGAGACUCUGAUUUGUGUUUUUUUUCAUGAAAUAAAUUAUUUGGCAUAUUCUUUGAACCUCCUGAAAUAGCCCCCCCCCCCCACCCCACCCUCGUCCUCCAAAGGAAAAAUCCUGCCAGUCGGCAGUUGAACAAUAACAUGAAACAUACCAGCAAGCCCUGAAUUGUUAAAUAAUUAUUUUUUAAAAAUAAAGGUUUGGGACAUGAAAUGAUGUAAUGUGGAUGAUAAAAGUCAAGUGAAAUUUUUUUUCAGAAGAUCGUCAAUCUUAAAUUCAAAGAGAUUCUUGUUGAUGAAUUGGAGUUCACACAACAAUUUGGCUACAACUGAUUGUUAUGCAGUAACCGUAACGGAUUGGGGAGACAUGAAGUCAUCGUGUUGCACAAUCUGUUGUUUCCAGGAGUUUGAAGUUCAGUAAAUCACAUUCAGUGUCUGGCCUAUUGCUCACUUUCAAGUGAAAAAAGGGCUCUAACUUUGAAAACACAAAUAUUUAUACGCUUAUGAACACACACACAUGAUCAUCCCGAAGCCACCUGCCACAGGUUGUUGCCUCUCCAAACCCUUUUUUUUUAAUCUGCUCACAGCCUUUCAGCAAACCACAUGGUAUGCCAUGUUUCCCUUGCAUAUUUUCACUGGAUGUCUGUGGUUGAUGCGUCAUUGGUUACCACAGGAACGUUAUUUUUGGUUGAAGCUCAAACUAUUUGUUUAUGGUAGGUUUUGAAAAUGUGCUGGAAGUAAAAUAAAACGGGGUACACACGCUGAUAAUCAGGCUGAAUUUGGACCCCCUCCGCCCCCCCCCCCCCACUUCUUUUCCACUCAAGUCAGCAAAGGGCCAUUUGAGAGAUGACUCGAGAAUAAAUAACUGCCUGGGAUGCUUCUGUGUGGGGUGUGCUGGUUGCAAUUUUAGCAAUGUUGCUGCAUACAAACAAAGGUGCGACAAAUUGUGUUAUUGGGCACAACGAAAAAAAGAGAACAGCUUGUCAAGCGAACAAUCUUCUUCAAUUACUGUACUUCUACUACUACGAGCUCUUUUUAUAUUGUUUGGCAGUCUGAACGACCAGGUUGCCAAUGGCAAAUUGAUCCGUUGCGGCAACGUCACGUGACGUAACGACGUGAGUGCACCGUGACGGAGUUCGGUUGACACCCUUGUUCUAUUCGGACAUCCGACUGCACAGCAAGCUAGGACCAUUUUCGAAGAUAAUGGCUUCUAGGGACAGAUACGGGACCGCACGCUUCACGGGUAUUUUGACGGUUAUUUUGUAUUUAUUUUGCCGGCCGUCAUAGCGGAAGGGGCGUUGCCACAAUGGCUGUGACGGAACGCGCAAAAGGUGAACUGACUGAACACACAAAUGUGCCAAAGGAGUGCGGAGAAACAAUGACAGUAGUUGACCGGGGCGCACGAUCCGCGUUGAUGGAAUGUAACCCAUUCAAAUCAUUUCCGUGUGUGACGAGAGAAAGUCUAAGAGCAAAAAAAUGAGCGAAUGUGACCCACCUGCAAUGACUGCAGGGCUGCUCUGCCCACCUUCCGGAUUCACCCAUAGCUCCAAGCUGAAUUUGUCCCUGGGCAGCUCUACCCCAGCAGACGGCUUCAGUCUCAGCUGCUCCUGGCGCCCGCUGAAGUACAGGCUGGUCAUCCAAGAUGGGGGCACCUUUGGCACGGGUUUCCCCCACUGAAACUUGCCGCCGAUAGACCUACGUGCGGAAUUCCGAGCCCGGUAGAAUCGGAGCUUCCGGGGGAGCUCGAGUUUCCCUCGUUUGGGGCGCCGCGUUCGAACCUGGAGGCGCGCGAUGGUCGACUCUGCCUGUCAGUCCAAGGUCGCGUGCCUCCAUCCUCGCGAG